rnacentral:tRNA from 2 species
GCGGAUGUGGCGGAACUGGUAGACGCACCAGAUUUAGGUUCUGGCGCCGCAAGGCGUGGGGGUUCGAGUCCCUUCAUCCGCA